rnacentral:lncRNA from 1 species
CCCCCUUCUUCUGCCUCCCUUCAACCCCUCCAUCCCUCUCUAUUUACGAAGACUUUGUUUAAAUUUUUUCAUUUUCUCAUAUUAAUUCCAUUCCCCUCUUUCCUUUCCCCUACCUCUCCUACUUCCCCUUCCCCUUCGCCCCUUUUCUUCCUAUUUCACAUUGUCUAUUAUACCUUUUAGCCCUAUUUACACUUUCAGUUUCUCACACUAGAGAAACUAUUCGGUACUUACACGUGUGUCUUAUUUAUUUCACUUAAGAUUAUUGUCUCAAAGUACAUCUAUUUAGCUAUAAAUGUCUCUAAUUUCUCAUUUUUUAUGGCUGAGUAGUACUUCAUUUUAUUAAAAAAACCACAUUUUCUUUAUCCAGUCUCCAGUUGAUGGGCAAUUGGGCUGCUUCCAAGUUUUAGCUAUUACAAGUUGUGCUGCUAUGAACAUGGGUGGACAUAUAACACAGUGGUAUGAUUCUUUUAAUUCUUUGGGGAAGAUACCCACCAAGGGGAAUAGCGGGGUCAAAUGGGACUUCUGAUCCUAGCUCUUUGAGGCAUUUCCAUACUAAUUUCCACAAUGGUUGCACCAGUCUACACUCCCACCAGCAGGGGAGGAGGGUUCCUCUUUCACCAAGCCCCGGUAGCAUUUGUUAUUGGUUGAUUUCAUGAUAGCAGCCAUUCUUUCUGGAGUGAAGUGGAAUCUCAGUGUUGUUUUCAUUUGCAUCUCUCGAAUGACCAGUGAUGUUGAACAUUUUUUCAUAUGUUUAUUUGCUAUUUCUGCUUCUCUGUCUGAGAAAUGUCUGUUCAUUUCAGAUGCCAUUUUUGGUUUGGGUCUUUAAAUUUGGGAGGUCUGAUCUUUUUAAGUUCUUUAUAGAUUUGAGAUAGUAGACCUUUGUCUGAGGAAGAGCAGGUGAAGAUUUUUUCCCACAUUGUGGGUUGUCUCUUCACCCUGCUGGUAGUUUCCUUGCUGUGCAGAAGCAUUUUAGUAAGAAGAGAUCCCACUUGUUGAUUGUUUGUGCUAGUUCACGGGCAACUGAGGUUUUGUUCAUAAAAUCUUUUCCUACACUGAUGUCUUCAAGGAUUCUACCUAACCUCUGUUCCAGCCGGUUCAGCGUUUCUAUGUUAAUAUUUAGAUAUUUAAUCCACUUCAAUUUUAGUUUAGUGCAUGGUGAAAGAUAUAGGUCUAGUUUUAAUCUUUGGGAAGUUGAAACCCAAUUUUUCCAGCACCUUUUAUUAAAGAGGCUAUCUUUCCUCCAGUGAGGGUGUUUGGAAUGUUUGUGAAGGAUGAGGUGGCUGAGUGUGUCUGGACUUGUUUCUGCAUCUUCUUAUCUGAUCCACUGGUCUUCAGGUCUGUUUCUUUGUCAGUACCAUGCUGUUUUCAUCACAGCAGUUUUGUAGUAUAGUUUCAAGUUGGGGAUUGUGAUACCCCCUAUCUUGUCUUUUUUGCCUAGUAUUGCUUUUGAUAUUCUAGGUCUCUUCAUUUGGAAAUGAAUUUUUGGAUUGUUUUCUCCAGGUCUGUGAAGUAUGGUGCUGGAAUUUCAAUUGAGAUUGCAUUGAAUCUAUGGAGGAGUUUUGUAAGUGUGGCCAUUUUCACUAUGUUGAUUCUUCCUAGCCAGGAGCAGGGGAUGUCUUUCCAUUUUCUGAUAUCAUCUUCAAUCUCUCUUUUCAGAGUGCUAUAGUUUUCAGAGAAGAGGUCUUUGAUUUCUUUUGUUUGGUUGAUUCCUAGGUAUUUCAAUUUUUUGGAUGCUAUCAUGAAAGGAGUUGUUUGCCCUAUUUCUCUCUCAGUGAGUCUGUUGUUCAUGUAGAGGAAAGCUGUUGAUUUUUGUGUGUUGACCUUAUAUCCAGCUACUUUACUGAAUUUGGUUAUUAAGUCUAGAAGACUUUUGGUGGAGUUCUUGGGAUCUUGUAUAUAGAGUAUCAUGUCAUGUGCAAAGAAUGACAAUUUGACUUCUUCAUUUCCUAUCUUUAUUGCUUUUAUUUCUUUCUCUUUUCUAAUUGCUGUAGCUAAUGUUUCCAAAACUAUAUUAAACAGGAGUGGUGAUAAUGGACAUACUUGUCUUGUUCCUGACUUUAGUGUGAAGAUUUUCAGUUUUUGACCAUUUAGUAUGAUAUUGGCUAUUGGUUUUUCAUAGAUGGCUUUUAUCAGAUUGAGGUAGAGACUGUCUAUUCCAAUUUUAUGUAGGGUUUUUAUCAUAAAUGUCAUGUGUUGGAUUUUGUCAAAUGCUUUUUCUCCAUUUGUUGAGAUGAUCAUAUGGUUUUUGUCCUUGGCUCUAUUGAUAUAGUGUAUUACAUUUAUUGAUUUGUGUAUGUUGAACCAUCCCUGCAUUCCUGGGAUAAGUUACACUUGGUCAGGGUGUACGAUUUUCUUGAUGAUCUCCUGCAUUCUAUUUACCAGUAUCUUAUUAAGGAUUUUUGCAUCUAUGAGUGAGAAUGGUCUGUAGUUGUCUUUUUUGGUUGGGUCUUUCUCUGCCUUGGGGAUCAAGGUGAUGCUUUCCUCCAGGAAUGAAUUCGGUAGUAUUGCUUCAUUUUCAGUUUUAUUGAAGAGUUUAAAUAGUAGUGGCAGUAGUUCCUCUCUAAAAGUCUUGUAGAAUUCAGCAGUGAAGCCAUUAGGACAGGGGAUUUUCUUAGUUGGUAAGAUUUUAAUUACAUUUUCAAUUUCGUUGAUUGAUAUUGGAUUGUUUAGAACUUUAAGUCUUCUUUGUUCAACUUUGGUAAUUCAUAUAUAUCUAGGCAUCUGUUCAUUUGUUCUGUGUUUUCCAUCUUAUUGGUAUAUAGGUUCUCCAAGUAGGUAUUGAUGAUCCUCUGGAUUUCUGCUGGGUCUGUUGUAAUUUCAUCCUUUUCUUUCCUAAUUGCAUUGAUUUGGGCUCUUUCUUUCCUUUUUCGGAGAAGGUUGGCUAAGGGUUUGUCAAUUUUGUUUAUUUUUUUGAAGAACCAACUCUUGGCUUCAUUGAUUUUUUGUAUUGUUCUCUUAGUCUCCAUUGCAUUGAUUUCUCCUCUGAUCUUUAUAAUUUCCUCCCUUGUAUGAGCUUUGGGUUUGUCUGGCUCUUCUUUUUCUAGAAGCUUGAGGUUCAGCAUCAUGUUGUUUAAUUGGGCUGGCUCUGUUUUCCUAAUAUGAGUAUUCACUGCUAUGAAUUUCCCUCGUAAGACUGCUUUCAUUGUGUCCCAUAGAUCCUGAUAUGUUGUAUUGUCAUUGUCAUUUAAUUGAAGGAGCUGUCUGAAUUCUUUUUUAACUUCCUCUGUGACCCAAUGGUUAUUCAGAAGUGUGUUGUUCAGAUUGCAUGAGUUUAUGAAAUUUUUGGAGUUUCUUUUGCUAUUGAUCUCCAAUUUCAUUGCACUAUGGUCUGAUAACAUACAGGGGAUAACUUCAAUUCCUUUGCAUUUACUUAAACAUGUUCUAUGAAUGUGUAUGUGGUCUAUUUUGGAGAACAACCCCUGUGCAGCUGAAAAGAAUGUUUAUUCUGAUUUUGUGGGGUGGAACACUCUGUAAACAUCUGUUAAGUUCAUUUGUUCAAGAGUUUGAUUGAGUUCUAGUAUUUUGUUGCUUAUUUUUUGUCCAGUUGAUCUCUAUAUUUGUGACAGUGGGGUAUUGAGUUCCCCUACUACUAUUGUAUUAGUGCUUAUUUGAUUUUUCAUGUCCAUUAGUAUUUGUUUUAUAUAGUUGGGUGCACUAGUAUUUGGUACAUAUAUAUUUAUGAUAGUCAUCUCUUUCUCUUGGAUUCUUCCCUUUACAAGGAUGUAGUGUCCUUCUUUGACUCUCUUAAUCAGUGUUGGUUUGAAAUCCACUUGAUCUGCAAAGAGGAUAGCUACUCCUGCCUUUUUUUGGGUUCCUGUUGCAUGGAGUAUUUUCUACCCUUUAACUGUAGUCUAUGAGUUUCUUUUUGAAUUAAGUGUGUUUCUUGUAUGCAGCAUAUUGUUGGAUCUUGCUUCUUGACCCAUUCUGCCAAUUUAUUUCUUUUGAUUGGUGAAUUGAGAUGAUUAACAUUAAUGGGUAUAACUGAUAAGUACUGAC